rnacentral:rRNA from 1 species
CCUACGGGUGGCAGCAGUGGGGAAUAUUGGACAAUGGGGGGAACCCUGAUCCAGCCAUGCCGCGUGUGUGAAGAAGGCCCUCGGGUUGUAAAGCACUUUCAGUGAGGAAGAACGCCUGGUGGUUAAUACCCAUCAGGAAAGACAUCACUCACAGAAGAAGCACCGGCUAACUCCGUGCCAGCAGCCGCGGUAAUAAGGAGGGUGCGAGCGUUAAUCGGAAUUACUGGGCGUAAAGCGCGCGUAGGUGGCUUGAUAAGCCGGUUGUGAAAGCCCCGGGCUCAACCUGGGAACGGCAUCCGGAACUGUCAAGCUAGAGUGCAGGAGAGGAAGGUAGAAUUCCCGGUGUAGCGGUGAAAUGCGUAGAGAUCGGGAGGAAUACCAGUGGCGAAGGCGGCCUUCUGGACUGACACUGACACUGAGGUGCGAAAGCGUGGGUAGCAAACAGGAUUAGAUACCCGAGUAGUC